GUCACUGUGGAUCCCGCUCGCAAACUCUGGUUCCGCCUCUUCGUCCCCCAGUCCACGUUGUCGACUCCAUCUGAUCUACCCGUCAUCGUAUUCUUCCACGGCGGAGGAUUCACCUUCCUCAGCCCUGCCUCAUUCGCAUACAACGCCGUUUGCCGCAAGUUUGCUCGGAAAUUCCCCGCUGUUGUCGUCUCUGUCAAUUACCGCCUCUGCCCCGAACACCGGUACCCUUCCCCAUACGACGACGGGUUCGACGUCCUUACCUUCCUCGACCAAAAUGAUGACGUCCUCCCCAAAAACGCAGACAGAUCCAGAAUCUUCUUGGCCGGGGACAGCGCGGGAGCCAACGUGGCCCACCACGUGGCGGUUCGGGCCGC
rnacentral:lncRNA from 1 species